UACGUAGGCAGCGAGCGUUGUUCGGAGUUACUGGGCGUAAAGGGUGUGUAGGCGGUUUUCUAAGUUUGGUGUGAAAUCUCCCGGCUCAACCGGGAGGGUGCGCCGAAAACUGGGAGACUAGAGUGCGGGAUGGGAGAGUAGAAUUCCUGGUGUAGCGGUGAAAUGCGUAGAUAUCAGGAGGAACACCGGUGGCGAAGGCGGCUCUCUGGACGGUGACUGACGCUGAGACGCGAAAGCGUGGGGAGCAAACAGG
rnacentral:rRNA from 1 species